GCCCUUGGCUCGAGCGGCCCCCGGGUUACCUUGUUACGACUUCACCCCAAUCGCCAACCACACCGUGGACGGCUGCCUCCCUUGCGGGUUGGCCCACCGGCUUCGGGUACAGCUGACUUUCGUGAUGUGACGGGCGGUGUGUACAGGGCCCGGGAACGUAUUCACCGCGUCGUUCUGAUACGGGAUUACUAGCGAUUCCACCUUCAUGCAGUCGAGUUGCAGACUGCAAUCCGAACUGAGGCCGGCUUUUUGGGAUUAGCUCCCCCUCGCGGGUUUGCAGCCCUUUGUACCGACCAUUGUAGCACGUGUGUAGCCCUGGACAUAAAGGCCAUGAUGACUUGACGUCAUCCCCACCUUCCUCCGGUUUGUCACCGGCAGUCCCCCUAGAGUCCCCGGCAUUACCCGCUGGCAACUAGGGGCAAGGGUUGCGCUCGUUGCGGGACUUAACCCAACACCUCACGGGACGAGCUGACGACAGCCAUGCAGCACCUCUGCUGGAGUCCCGAAGGAAGAAUUCUGUCUUCAGAACGGUCCCCAGCAGUUUAAACCCAGGUAAGGUUCUUCGCGUUGAAUAGAAUUAAACACAUGCUCACCGCUUGUGCGGGCCCCGUAAAUUCUUUGAGUUUAGCCUUGCGACAGUAUACAAGGCGGGCACUUAACGCGUUAGUACGGACAGACGGGUCGCACCCGCGACGGUCGUGCAAUUGUUUCGGGGUGGCUACACGGUAUUUAUUUGUUUGUUCAA
rnacentral:rRNA from 1 species